CAAAUAUUAGAACAUCUAAAGUGCUGUUGGGAAUGAUAAUUCAAUGAAUAUCCUUGUGACAUUGCUUUAUUGUUCCAACCAAAAACAUGCCAUGCUCAAAACCCAUUCAACAACUUGCCAGUAUUCAACUUGCGAUGCUACAGUUCAAGACUAAUUAGCUUCUCACUAGAAUGCAAGAUGCAUUCGUUACAAGAAAAUUACUAAUUGUAAAAAUGUUCUAGAUAUAAUAUUGAAAAUAGGUCUAUUACACUGAUAGAGCGUAUUCUUAACAAUGACAUGGAAAGCUCACCAGACUUUGUAAAUGUGAUGGUCAGCAUUUUUCCUCUGUACAUCAAUCUUCUAGUAUGUGAGGUUUAGAUUAGGUACUCGUAGUACACCAAGAACAAAGCAUCAGGGAUAUCCUUUGGCAAGCUGUUUAUAUAAAGAUAGAAUCGCAACAAAUCCUCUCUUAACACAGUUUCAGUGUCAACCACAUCCUUACUGCAUGUGAGAACCCACAAGUCACCUGAGUUCACUCUUUUCAGACUUCCCCGGCAAAAUGGGCAAGAUUCUGAUCUUGUGUUCCAGUCAUGGUAGCAGUUGACGCACAUAGUGUGGCAACAGCUUGGCACAACCAUUUUUGUGCAAGGCUCCAAG
rnacentral:misc_RNA from 1 species